ACGUAAUAGAUACCCGGGUAGUCCACGCCCUAAACGAUGUCUACUAGUUGUUGGUGGAGUAAAAUCCAUGAGUAAACGCAGCUAAACGCGUGAAGUAGACCGCCUGGGGAGUACGGUCGCAAGAUUAAAACUCAAAGGAAUUGACGGGGGCCCGGCACAAGCGGUGGAUUAUGUGGAUUAAUUCGAUGCAACGCGAAAAACCUUAACCUGGCCUUGACAUGCCACUAACGAAGCAGAGAUGCAUUAGGUGUCCGUAAGGGAAAGUGGACACAGGUGCUGCAUGGCUGUCGUCAGCUCGUGUCGUGAGAUGUUGGGUUUAAAGUCCCGCAACGAGCGCAACCCUUGCCAUUAAUUGCCAUCAUUUAGUUGGGCACUUAAUGGACUGCCGUGACAACCGGAGAGGUGGGAUGACGUCAAGUCCUCAUGGCCCUUAUGG
rnacentral:rRNA from 1 species